rnacentral:rRNA from 1 species
UGGGGAAUAUUGCACAAUGGGCGCAAGCCUGAUGCAGCCAUGCCGCGUGUAUGAAGAAGGCCUUCGGGUUGUAAAGUACUUUCAGCGAGGAGGAAGGCGUUGUGGUUAAUAACCGCAACGAUUGACGUUACUCGCAGAAGAAGCACCGGCUAACUCCGUGCCAGCAGCCGCGGUAAUACGGAGGGCGCAAGCGUUAAUCGGAAUUACUGGGCGUAAAGCGCACGCAGGCGGUCUGUCAAGUCGGAUGUGAAAUCCCCGGGCUCAACCUGGGAACUGCAUCCGAAACUGGCAGGCUAGAGUCUUGUAGAGGGGGGUAGAAUUCCAGGUGUAGCGGUGAAAUGCGUAGAGAUCUGGAGGAAUACCGGUGGCGAAGGCGGCCCCCUGGACAAAGACUGACGCUCAGGUGCGAAAGCGUGGGGAGCAAACA